UACGUAGGCAGCGAGCGUUGUUCGGAGUUACUGGGCGUAAAGAGUGCGUAGGCGGUUUUCUAAGUUUGGUGUGAAAUUUCCCGGCUUAACUGGGAGGGUGCGCCGAAGACUGGAAGGCUUGAGUAUGGGAGAGGUAAGCGGAAUUCCUGGUGUAGCGGUGAAAUGCGUAGAUAUCAGGAGGAACACCUGCGGUGUAGACGGCUUACUGGACCAUCACUGACGCUGAGGCACGAAAGCGUGGGUAGCAAACAGG
rnacentral:rRNA from 1 species